GCCAUUGCCCUCUCAAGGGGCUAGGGUUCUCCCCUAACCCUACCGCCGCCUCACCCUUCUCCCUCUCUCCUACUGUCCCAUUGCAGGUUUUAAGGUGGCAUAGGCUUGUGAGAUGCGGUAAUGGCAGGGAAGAGGUCGAAGAAUUUAUUGCUUCGUCCUUUUUUCAUAUAUUUCGUCGAUUAAAUACUCCAAACACACCUCUAAGAUCUUGUGAAGCCAAAGACUUAAAUUCGGAUUUGCGUAGAAAGCGGGCAAGGUACAGACGCUUAUUGUGGUGAUCCGCCAGCCUAGGGUGCCCAUUCUGCUACUUGAGCGUGCUCCUUUGAUCUGGAGCCCGCACUUUUGGUACCGAUCUUUCCAUUGUACAUAUUUAUGCAUAUAUGACUAUUCAGGGGUACGGCGGGGCCCUGUCCCGCCAUAUGAUUCGGUUAUGUUUGUUAGAGGCCUGUAGACAUGUAUGUGGGUCAUGGGUCGUUAUGAUUCUGUUAUGUCUGUGUAGUUUGCGUCUAAGUAGCUCCAGUUGCUGUGACAGCCUUAACGG